GGCCAUACCACCCUGUAUGUGUCUGAUCUCGGAAGCUAAGCAGGGUUGUGCCUGGUUAGUACUUGGAUGGAAGAACAUUUGUGAUUGACAACAAGGGGUCAAAAUAU
rnacentral:rRNA from 1 species